rnacentral:rRNA from 1 species
UACGUAGGGCGCAAGCGUUGUCCGGAAUUAUUGGGCGUAAAGAGCUCGUAGGCGGCCUGUUACGUCUGCUGUGAAAUCCCGGGGCUUAACCCCGGGCGUGCAGUGGAUACGGGCAGGCUGGAGGCAGGCAGGGGGGAACGGAAUUCCCGGUGUAGCGGUGAAAUGCGCAGAUAUCGGGAGGAACACCGGUGGCGAAGGCGGUUCUCUGGGCCUGUACUGACGCUGAGGAGCGAAAGCGUGGGGAGCGAACAGG